AUUGAACGCUGGCGGCAUGCCUUACACAUGCAAGUCGAACGGUAGCGGGCCUUCGGGUGCCGACGAGUGGCGAACGGGUGAGUAAUGUAUCGGAACGUACCUUUCAGUGGGGGAUAACGUAGCGAGAGUUACGCUAAUACUGCAUAUUCUGUGCGCAGGAAAGCAGGGGAUCGCAAGACCUUGCGCUGAUUGAGCGGCCGAUAUCAGGUUAGCUAGUUGGUGAGGUAAAGGCUCACCAAGGCGACGAUCUGUAGCGGGUCUGAGAGGAUGAUCCGCCCCACUGGAACGGAGACACGGUGCAGACUCCUACGGGAGGCAGCAGUGGGGAAUUUUGGACAAUGGGGGCAACCCUGAUCCAGCCAUGCCGCGUGAGUGAAGAAGGCCUUCGGGUUGUAAAGCUCUUUCGGCCGGGAAGAAAUCGUAUCAGCUAAUACCUGGUGCGGAUGACGGUACCGGCAUAAGAAGCACCGGCUAACUACGUGCCAGCCGCCGCCGUAACAC
rnacentral:rRNA from 1 species